GGCUCAGGAUGAACGCUAGCGGCAGGCUUAACACAUGCAAGUCGAGGGGCAGCACGUCUUCGGAUGGUGGCGACCGGCGCACGGGUGCGUAACGCGUAUAGAACCUACCUUUUACAGGGGAAUAGCCCAGAGAAAUUUGGAUUAAUACUCCAUAGUAUUACAGAUUCGCAUGUUUUUGUAAUUAAAGUUUUAAUGGUUGAGGAUGGGCAUGCGUGACAUUAGUUUGUUGGUGAGGCAAUGGCUCACCAAGACUACGAUGUCUAGGGGUUCUGAGAGGAUGAUCCCCCACACUGGUACUGAGACACGGACCAGACUCCUACGGGAGGCAGCAGUGAGGAAUAUUGGACAAUGAAGGCAACUCUGAUCCAGCCAUCCCGCGUGCAGGAAGACAGCCCUAUGGGUCGUAAACUGCUUUUAUACAGGAAUAAACCCCUCUACGUGUAGAGGGCUGAAGGUACUGUAAGAAUAAGGACCGGCUAACUCCGUG
rnacentral:rRNA from 1 species